GAUGAACGCUAGCGGCAGGCCUAAUACAUGCAAGUCGGACGGGAUUGGAGAGCUUGCUUUCCAUGAGAGUGGCGCACGGGUGCGUAGCACGUAUGUAACCUACCUUGUUCAGGGGGAUAGCCUCUCGAAAGAGAGAUUAAGACCGCAUAACAUUGCGAUGUGGCAUCACAUUGUAAUCAAAUAUUUAUAGGAACAAGAUGGGCAUGCGGAACAUUAGCUAGUUGGUUAGGUAACGGCUUACCAAGGCUACGAUGUUUAGGGGAUCUGAGAGGAUGACCCCCCACACUGGUACUGAGACACGGACCAGACUCCUACGGGAGGCAGCAGUAAGGAAUAUUGGUCAAUGGGCGGAAGCCUGAACCAGCCAUGCCGCGUGCAGGAAGACGGCCCUAUGGGUUGUAAACUGCUUUUGCAGGGGAAUAAACCUUGGUACGUGUACCAAGCUGAAUGUACUCUGAGAAUAAGGAUCGGCUAACUCCGUGCCAGCCGCCGCAGUAA
rnacentral:rRNA from 1 species